rnacentral:rRNA from 1 species
UACGGGGGGAGCAAGCGUUGUUCGGAUUUACUGGGCGUAAAGGGCGCGUAGGCGGCCAGCACAAGUCAGUUGUGAAAUCUCCGGGCUUAACUCGGAAAGGUCAACUGAUACUGUGCGGCUAGAGUGCAGAAGGGGCAACUGGAAUUCUCGGGUGUAGCGGUGAAAUGCGUAGAUAUCGAGAGGAACACCUGCGGCGAAGGCGGGUUGCUGGGCUGACACUGACGCUGAUGCACGAAAGCCAGGGGAGCGAACGGG